AGGCAGAGAAGAACCCUUGAAUUCUUUCUUUUUAUUUCUCGCCUGUCAGUGCCAUGUACUUCAAUGGUCUUUUGUCACUUAUUUUGUUCUUAGCCACACAUUUGGAUAACUCGCCAAGGUCGAGUGAAGGUGAAGGCGGGGUCAUUACCCAGAUUAAAAACAGCAUGAAAAUCAUCUUCUACACUGAGCACAGUCAUGCUAGUAACUCUUGACAGAGACAAUGGUCAUUCCUCCUCUGGCAGCCCAGGAUUCUGCCCAGAAAUGUAUGGAGGCUUACUAAAUCUGGGAACACCAGAAAGAGCUACAAGAAUCUUUGUGGAUUGCGAAGUGACCUGCUGGCCAAUGUCCAUAGCAUCCCUGGCUUCUAAAUCCUGCUAAGGUAAAGUCACUGCUGGGAUAUUGAGAAAAAAAACAAUGCCUGAUGCUCACUCCUGCUUCUCGGCAAGUAUAGAAGACACUUUUAUGCUAUUAGCUGCUAUUUGUGUUAAUACAGAUGCUAUUAUCUGAUUUAAACAUCAAAGGUCUGAUUUUAUUUUGCUUUUGCCCUGGAGACAAAAAAAAAAAAAAUGAAAGAAGAAAGAAAGGAAGGAAGAGAGGAAGGAAGGAAGGGAGGAAGGAAGAAAGAAAGCCAGCACCAUUUUGAAAAGAAAAGCAUCUAAUAAUUAAAUAUACUUUCCCAGAGAGCUGAGGAGCAGAUGUUCUGUCUCUCUCAUGGAGUGGGAGGGUGUGGAUACUUACGGGAGUUGUACCCAGAGCACAUUUCAUAAUCUUAAAAAGUCAAGAGG
rnacentral:lncRNA from 1 species